rnacentral:rRNA from 1 species
AACGAACGCUGGCGGCGCGUCUUAAGCAUGCAAGUCGGACGGUAAGGAAGGAGCUUGCUUCUUCCCUAGAGUGGCGGACUGGUGAGGAACGCGUGGGUGACGCACCCUUCGGACGGGGAUAGCCGGUAGAAAUACCCGGGUAAUACCGGAUAAGAGCGCCUCCUUAGAGGGAGGCGGAGAAAGCGGCUUCGGCCGCGCCGGAGGAACGGCCCGCGUGCUAUUAGCUAGUUGGCGGGGUAACGGCCCACCAAGGCGACGAUAGCUAUCCGGCCUGAGAGGGUGAACGGACACAUUGGGACUGAGAUACGGUCCAGACUCCUACGGGAGGCAGCAGUGGGGAAUAUUGGGCAAUGGGCGAAAGCCUGACCCAGCAACGCCGCGUGAAGG